UACGGGGGGGAGCAAGCGUUGUUCGGAUUUACUGGGCGUAAAGGGCGCGUAGGCGGCCACCGCAAGUCGACUGUGAAAUCUCCGGGCUUAACUCGGAAAGGUCAGCCGAUACUGCGGGGCUAGAGUGCAGAAGGGGCAACUGGAAUUCUCGGUGUAGCGGUGAAAUGCGUAGAUAUCGAGAGGAACACCUGCGGCGAAGGCGGGUUGCUGGGCUGAUACUGACGCUGAGGCGCGAAAGCCAGGGGAGCAAACGGG
rnacentral:rRNA from 1 species